GAGAGAGAGAGAGAGAAGGAAGCUCCUUUUGAGGUCUAUUCAGAAACAAGUGUAUUUGAACUAGUGGAAUACUCUAACUAAAAAAGCUUGGAUUUUUAUUUGCCAAGACUGAUGAAGAAGAGGUAUGGGCUUUUCAUUUUUUUUAUUUCUGCUAUAGACACAUAGUCAGCGCCUGAACUUUUGAAUGAUUCAGAGAUCGGCGGCUAAGAUUAACCUAGGUGCAUGGUAAACAGUGAGUACUACCACAGAUGAAUUCUCCUUAGAAGUGUCUCAGGCUUUUUUUUAAUGCAGAUAGAAGGGAGGA
rnacentral:misc_RNA from 1 species